rnacentral:rRNA from 1 species
UACGAACUGUGCAAACGUUAUUCGGAAUCACUGGGCUUAAAGGGUGCGUAGGCGGCUUGUCAAGUAGGGUGUGAAAGCCCACGGCUUAACCGGGGAAUUGCGCCCUAAACUGACGAGCUGGAGUGGGACAGGGGUGUGUGGAACUUCCGGUGGAGCGGUGAAAUGUGUUGAUAUCGGAAGGAACGCCGGUGGCGAAAGCGACACACUGGAUCUUGUCUGACGCUGAGGCACGAAAGCCAGGGGAGCGAACGGG